GGGGUUUCUUCUUCCUGGAGUUUGCUCAAGGUCUCCCCUCCCCGUGCCACACGAGCACCCACGAUGGGCGGCACUGCCACUGACACCCGGGCACUGAUGCUGCAGUAUCACUCAGCCGGGGCCAGGCGGAGCCUCGAAAAGAAGCCUCGACAAGACGCGGGCCUGUAUCCCUGGACAUCAGCACCAAGUCCGGCUGCAGUCACGGGCCAGCGAGAGGGAGAAAGCACCCCGAGGCCCCCAGCGCCAUCUCACCUCUGCUAUCAACAUGUGGGAAGACGUGUCAUAGUCUGUGAAGCGCUGAGUCUCACGGGACCCAGACGUGGAAUAUGCAUCUGAGUGUGACCAGGAGGACCUCGAAGCAUGAGAUAGAGAGGAGACGCAUACAGGGACAUGUGUCCCAUCCUUGCUGAGGCUUGUUGGUGACAUCUGAUCACAGCAAUGCCCCCUGAUCAGCACUCAGAGCCUCAGAGCCAACGGCCUCACUCUAGAGCCUGCUUCCUGCCACGAGCCAACUCUGCCCUCUCUGUUUUCUUCUCAGGAGGAGGAGUCUGGGGUUCCAGAGAGGACCUUGGAGGCCCGCCAUGCAACACCCUCCUCUGUUCUCAGGCCACCUGCCAACAGGGAAACUGAAGCACAGAACAAGGUCCCUGUUCCCACCAACCUUCACCAGGUGGCCCUGGCUCCUGGGUUCUGUGACACCAUCCCCUCCUCCAGCCCAGGAAGUGCUGGUGGCUUUCUGCUCUUGCUAAUCCAGUUUUUACAGCCCCGUGCUCCCUGGAGAACCCCAGUGCUUUCUCUAGGACGUAUCAGUCAGACGGCAGAGGAAACAUCCAAAAUGCUGGGAACAUCCUGUGUCACGGUGUCUCCCUGGCCCCCAGAGAAGGAAACGGAAGUGACACUUCCCAGCUUAGAGGUUUUGCAGCUGCUGUUCCUUCUGCCCAGAAUCCUUUUCCACGUGAUCAUCACACAGUGGACCAGUGAGUCAGGCAUGUGAAGCACUUAGGAGUCUGGCUGCCCUCAGGGACCACCCUGGAGGGACUGUGUAGGGAGAGGGGUGGCCAGGUAGCUCCAGCUACUAGGAGGAGAAAAGCCUUCGAGAUGAGCCCAGGCCCAGCUCCCUGCAGUCGCGAGAGAAAGCCUGAGUGAGAACUUCAGAGAGAGCCCAGGUACCCCCAGACUCGUGAGCCACGGCUUUGGAACAGUUUGUUACUCAGCAUCAGCUCACUGCAGCAGACCUGCAAGGCCGACCCCACUGUGCCUUCUGGGCAGAGGGCAUCUGAUGCCAACAAGCUACCGUGAGGAGCUCCCACCCCAGCUGAGUCUCUUAGCAAAAGCCCAGGGACCGACUCACCUGGGCUGCAUCUCAGGAAAGCACCGAGGCCAGGGCUGUGGGGAGGGUGACCACACUGACUGGGGGUCAUGUGACUUUGCAGACAGAGACAACAAGGGAGGGAAAUGGCAGCCCAUGUCUCCACCCAAAUCCACAAAAGCUUCUAAGAAGGAAACCAAGCAAGGAGGCCAGGAAGUCAUGCCUGAGUUCUGCGGGUGUCGGGAAUUUUCACAUGGGUUUCCCUUCCAUCCUCCCCACCGCCUCGUGAUUUAGGUGACAUCAACGGCCCUCUAGAGAGGAGAUCAGAGACACAGAGCAAGGUGUCCAUGGGCACAGCCACAGAGCUCGGAUUCGGACCCGAUUUGUCUGAUUCCAACUUUCUCCAUCAGUAAGCAAAGCACGUGAGAGGAAGGAGAGGGGAGAUUGUCCUCCGCGCUGGGACCCACAACCACAGAACUACGCAAGGCAAACACAACAGAGAUUAGAAUGCUGGGGUUUGUUCUCAUGGGCCUCAAUAUCCGUUCUUCCACUGAAGAGAGGACCUCGUUCACAGCUGUGUCCCCGACAUCUGGAACAAGACCUGGCCCCGAGCAGAUGUGCAACCAGUAUCUGCCCAAAUGAAGGAAUGCACAGGCCACAGGCCCAGCAGUUGAUCUUGAGUUCUAAAGGAAGGGGCUGGGCCAGACAAUGCCCGUCCCCGCCUCCGCACUGAGGGGCUUCCUGACCAGUGACAUCACCCUGCCUUCCCCCGCAGCCUCUGCCUCCUCAGCACUGUCUUAGGAAGGUCUGCUGCAGAACGCCGUUGAGAUCAGGGUGCUGUCUGCAUGCGAUGCAAGGCCCUGCAUCCAGGAAUGCUAAUCCCAGGUCCCGGAUAAGAAGCCGCACCUGGACGUGAGGUGUGACAAGCAGACAGACUUUUCCCGGGGGAGUGGGUGUCCAUCUUUAAACACUUAAUGUACCUUAUAUUCAUUGUAAAACAGCAAACACAGACUGAAUGGACAAGGUCGGGAGACCAUGGUGGUGGGGGAACACGUGAAUUCCAUGGAAUCCCAACACCCAGAAAUGACACACGUUUUCAACAUGCCAGUGUGAUUUCAGAUGUUUUGAGCAACAAACGCUUUUUGAACUUUUUACUGAAUAUGAACACAGGGGAAAACUCACCCUCAUAAGUGUACACCGACUCAAGGGACAUGAGUCUGAGAAAACUCCAGGAGGUGGUGAAGGACAGGGAAGCCUGGCGUGCCACAGUCCAUGCGGUCACAGUCAGACACGACUGAGAGACUGAACAACACCACCACCAAAAGUGUAGAGUUCAGUGACCUUUGCCACGUCCAGGGGAGUAUGAACACACAAGGUGGAGUGAGCUAAUCCUGUUCUCUUUGUCCCACGUUCUCAUGAACGUACUUUCCUUCUGUCCCCCCACAACAAGCCUGCUCCUGGUCACAUCAGCCCACCUCCUUCACAGGGCAACCCCCCAACCAGAAGAGCCCAGGGGCAUCGCAGGGGCUCCCGCAGGCAGUCAAGGUUCUCCACAGUGUGCAAGACCAGUGUGUGUCUCCCAGCCGCGCUGCACGCCCCCCCAGAGCAGCACCCCCAGAACAGAUCCUCCCCACAUCCAGCUCUGCUCUGCAGCCCCAGCCCCAGCCCUGAGGUCCCACCCUGGAACAUUGAGGCUCCUCCCGAGAGAUUCUAGACAGGUAACAUGGCUCUCCUGAGACCAUGGGGGCCCCAGCACAGCGCCUGUCAGUUCCCCCAUGGGCUCUGGGAGAAAACAGGAACUUCCCCCAGCCCACUCGCUCCCACCAAGACUUCCCUGAGG
ensembl:lncRNA